GACCAUGGGCGGCUCCUCGGUGUUCAGCUCCACCGCGUCGUACUUCUCUUUGCCCCACUUGACGUUGACUGACGGCAGAGUACAGCGGCGUUACAGCAGGGGAUGACACAGCAAACGCCAAGUGACCGGCCGGCCGCUUCCGCGCAACAACAACACUGCACGUCAUCUGGGAGACCAUCUUUGAGCGGAGCGAGUCGCGUUAGCAAAGGCUAAAGCCCCAUUUCACCGGCACCAACCCACCGCGGCGUCCAGCCGAACCGGCGGGCUCCGGCUGCUGAAGCGUGCUGCAGUGACCGGCGGCUGCUCGGUCCCGCGGGAGCCGGCGGCCGCUUCCGCGAGCGACCGCACGUCUCUUGUUUGGGUCCGUUAGCAUCGCGCACCGGCUGCCGACAGCCUCCACACACAAACGGCCGGUGUGCGGCCCACGCGGGGGGUUUAACAAGCCACCGGUCCGUGUCGACCUGGAGCACAGUCGAGGAAACCACCGCGCUGCGCCGCAAACGCAAAAAGUGCUUCGUAACGCUGGCGAGCUAACGCGGUGUUGUGCUAAUGCUAGCAGGCUAGGCGCGCUAGUCGGCGCGCACGUGACGCGCUGCCGGGGCCACAGCUUCUCCUCCCGAGGCGGAUAUAAGCCGCGGCUCACCUGUGAACACCGGCAUGUUGGGUGCUGGGCAGCGCUGGCUGGGUGCGGGAGCUCGCUGUGUUCAGUGCGGAGCAGCGAGCGGCGUCACUCUCCACUUCAUUCAAACGGAAUGACGCUGCAACUCGCGCUGUGACCCCCGAACCGAGCCUGGGCGGGUCUUCCACGGCCGACGGCAUGACACGCGCGCGCACGCGCGCGCGCCUCUCUCCUCAGCCCCGUCGGUUUCAUUGUCAUCUACGCGUCUGUUGUGCGUCUGUUACUGACACGGAGACCACAGAACCACAGGCAAGCGCGAGCCCUCCCGCUCACGGACAGUUGCCCACGCCGCCGGUAAUUCAGAUCAUACGUGACGUCAGGAGUUGAACCUGAGCCACUCGGCUUUCGAACGUGUCUCGCACUUCCGCCGACGGCUGAUGACGUCUGGAAAAUCACCCCUCACCUAAUGUCGCUCUUCAGUCACAGAACAAGCCCCACAGUGGUCUCCGCCCCCCCCUCCCGGCUGCAGGUCAAGGUCACAUCUGGCCCACGUUUGACCCCAUUUUUAACUCAAGCAACAGAAUCCCCACCAACACACAGGCGCGGCUGUGUGGCGACUGAGGCAUGAAGGUGGACAGCUCAGGUACAACCAAUGAUAAAGAUAUGUUUAUUGACAUAUCCAUCAGUGCGGACUGCAAUGCAAUAAACCAUGCAAUUAAUCCAAGACCAGAGAAAAUCAUAGUUCCAGUGCUUUUCUUUUCAACUGAACAGAAGGUUACACAUCAAAAGAUUGCGGAGGUAUUCCAGAAUCCUUUAGUCGCUUCUCAGUAUGUACACUGUAGCAGGGGGUUUGCAUUCACGGGACCGCGUGACAGCUGUGCUCGCAACAUCCCGAAACUUGUCAAAUGAUACGAGAGCAGGGACUUUUCUGUUUUUUUAUUCAACAUGCUAACCAUUGCAAUGUGUCCAUAGAGUGGUAAUCUAAUCAUAUUUAUAUAUAUAUAUAUAUUUAUUUAUAUAUAAUCCAAGCAAGUAGGUCUCAAUAAAACCACACCUGUGGCAUUUCCUUAAAAAGAACUGACGGAAGAGUUGUGAUUUGUCUUGUCUGAAAGAAAGAGCGCGCAGAUAUGGCAGUAAAAACAACAUCCAAACAUUAAGGCACUAGGUGGCCAAAUGCUACACCUGUUAAGUCUUCUACAAAUAAUUUACAAACAGUGCAGUUUUACAAUGUUAACUUAAUGUUUUCCUUUUGAACCAUUUAUCUGUGAAUCAAUGUAAGGCAAUACAUUACAAAAACAAACACUGAACAAAGAGAAAUAUUACAAUGUACCAAAUAAACAGAAAAAAAAAAAAAGCGAGGAAGCUUCAGGACUCCAGUCUGCCACGGUGGGUGGAGGUUACUUAUGGCUUGGAGCAAUAAAAAUCACUAGAAUAAAAAUAAUGCAUAGAAUUAAAUGAUGAAUUUCCGUGCUCCUCACGUGGCGCUCGAGAGCUCUAAUACUCGUGUCCCAACACUCUGCCCCGAACCUGAUAAGUGACGUAGAGUAAUUAGAAUAAAAGGCAAAAGUCAGACAAAAGGCAUCAGUCAGUUAAAACGUGCGGAGGAUCCUUCAGGCGGGACGAUGGCGGCCACCUCCCUGCCCCCCCCCUGAGUCUCCAUCGCUCCCCGCAGACCUGCAAUCCCUGUGCGACCGUACCUUUAACUGAACAACUAUUCGCAGAAGUCCCAGCAAACCCCCCUGAAAAUGAA